UAAAUUAAAAAAAAAAAAUCAAAAUGUUUGCAUUUAUUCCGUAUUACAGACUAUUUAAAAGACCCAGAGAGAGAGGAAGAUAGAGAAGGACAAAUUACGGGGAAGACCCAAUGGUGAAGAGAUACAGAGAAAUCCACAGAGAGAAGAGGAAGAGCAGCUCAGAAUUUCUCAAUAUCCUCCCAUCUGUGGACUUGAACAGCUGUAGACUUUGAAAAGGAUGUGGUGUGCAUCUUAAAAACUGCAGACCCAUUCCGUAUUUUGAGACUGAUGGUUCAGUUCUUGGAAUAAGACUAUCCAACAGAGAGGAAGGACAGGAGCCACCUCCAAUUCCAUGUUAUCGGCUGCAGAUGAGCCACACGCUGCUCUAAGGUAAGGGUCAAAGUGUCUG
rnacentral:lncRNA from 1 species